rnacentral:rRNA from 1 species
GACGAACGCUGGCGGCGUGCUUAACACAUGCAAGUCGAACGGUAAGGCCCUUCGGGGUACACGAGUGGCGAACGGGUGAGUAACACGUGGGUGAUCUGCCCUGCACUUCGGGAUAAGCCUGGGAAACUGGGUCUAAUACCGGAUAGGACCACUGCCUGCAUGGGUGGUGGUGGAAAGCUUUUGCGGUGUGGGAUGGGCCCGCGGCCUAUCAGCUUGUUGGUGGGGUGAUGGCCUACCAAGGCGACGACGGGUAGCCGGCCUGAGAGGGUGACCGGCCACACGGGGACUGAGAUACGGCCCAGACUCCUACGGGAGGCAGCAGUGGGGAAUAUUGCACAAUGGGCGCAAGCCUGAUGCAGCGACGCCGCGUGAGGGAUGACGGCCUUCGGGUUGUAAACCUCUUUUAGCAGGGAAGAAGCGAAAGUGACGGUACCUGCAGAAAAAGCACCGGCUAACUACGUGCCAGCAGCCGCAGUAA